GGGGGGGGGGGGGGGGGGGCGGGGGGGAGGGAGGGCGGGCGAUGGAGCCCAGCUUGCUGGGUGGGUGAGUGGCGAACGGGUGAGUAACACGUGAGUAACCUGCCCUUAACUCUGGGAUAAGCCUGGGAAACUGGGUCUAAUACCGGCUAGGAGCGUCCACCGCAUGGUGGGUGUUGGAAAGAUUUAUCGGUUUUGGAUGGACUCGCGGCCUAUCAGCUGGUUGGUGAGGUAAUGUCUCACCAAGGCGACGACGGGUAGCCGGCCUGAGAGGGUGACCGGCCACACUGGGACUGAGACACGGCCCAGACUCCUACGGGAGGCAGCAGUGGGGAAUAUUGCACAAUGGGCGCAAGCCUGAUGCAGCGACGCCGCGUGAGGGAUGACGGCCUUCGGGUUGUAAACCUCUUUCAGUAGGGAAGAAGCGAAAGUGACGGUACCUGCAGAAGAAGCACCGGCUAACUACGUG
rnacentral:rRNA from 1 species